UGCGCAUGUCUGAAAGUACAGCUUCAGCGUGAUCAGAUUAAAUAGCUCUUUAUUCAGUGUUUCAUCGUUUCAAGAGUUUGAUUAAUUAACUGAUCAUUGCAGUUUCACUCAUUAAAGUUUAAUUUACUUUGUGUGUAUCCAGAUCUCGGGAACGCGCACAGGCUUGCGCAGCGCGGGCACGAUUCAAACUAGAGAUCAAUACUAGAUUCUUAACUAUCUGUUGCUUUUAAUCCGGUCGAUUAACAGGAUGGUUUGUGAGCUGCUGCUGUCGUCUGUCUGGUUUCUCUUUGUGAUCUUCUGGUUGGAGACCAUCAGUGUUUGGCUCUUCUUGUGUUUGUACUAUCAGGACCGAGUUUACUAUCACUGGGGCUCCAGGGAGUUUGCAGAUGAUCCAGGCCAGUUCCUGUAUGUGCUGAGCAGAACUGAUCUCACUGCACAUAUGCAAACCUGAGGAAGUGAUGUCAUCACGUUGGAGAGUCGUGCAAAGACCAAAGGGAAAGAAGGCUUGGCUUGAUCAGAAGGGUUAUCAGUGAUGUCAUCAUCUCUCAUGAAGCGAAUGAGAGCCAAUCAGAGUCUGUGAUGACACGUGGAUUAAAGAGUUUGUAGAAACUGCCUUUAGAGAUUCUGCUCUCCGUAGAGUUCACUGUCACAUAGCAGCUUCAGUUGCACCUGUAAAAAACAUAUAAGACAUCUUUGACGAGCGUUGUUUCAUGUGUGAAUCGACACGUGUAUAAACUCUCACAGAGACACACACUGUCCAUGUGUGCAUGCUGAAAUCAGUUUCAUUAUAAAACAAACAGAAUGUUCAGUUUAUUAAGAGGGCAACAUAAUGAAAUAUUUCAUUCAUAAGAUUAUACAUUUGUUUAUUUGAUGUAUAACAGCACAGUUGCUGAUUGAGUUUAACAGUUUCCUCUUUGAAAAGAGUCAGAAUUUCUGCUGUACUUCCAGUGCAUUGUAUCAGCUAUUUCUAAUUAUUUUACCUUUUUUUUUUUUUUGUACUAAUUUUGCAAAUAAUAAAGCAGUGAAUUGUUUAAAGUGUGUUGUAUCUAAUAAAUGACAAAUGAAAAUAACCUCCAGCCAGAAACUCCACAUGUGAUUCUGUGGAAAU